CUCUGAGAGGGAAUGGAGACUCAGUUGACCUCUGGUUCUCUUCUUCCCUCAG
ensembl:miRNA Mir7041 microRNA 7041